rnacentral:rRNA from 1 species
UGACCGCCUGGGGAGUACGGCCGCAAGGUUAAAACUCAAAGGAAUUGACGGGGACCCGCACAAGCGGUGGAUUAUGUGGAUUAAUUCGAUGCAACGCGAAAAACCUUACCUACCCUUGACAUGCCAGGAACUUUCCAGAGAUGGAUUGGUGCCCGAAAGGGAACCUGGACACAGGUGCUGCAUGGCUGUCGUCAGCUCGUGUCGUGAGAUGUUGGGUUAAGUCCCGCAACGAGCGCAACCCUUGCCAUUAAUUGCCAUCAUUCAGUUGGGCACUUUAAUGGGACUGCCGGUGAUAAACCGGAGGAAGGUGGGGAUGACGUCAAGUCCUCAUGGCCCUUAUGGGUAGGGCUUCACACGUAAUACAAUGGUCGGUACAGAGGGUCGCCAACCCGCGAGGGGGAGCCAAUCUCAGAAAGCCGAUCGUAGUCCGGAUUGUUCUCUGCAACUCGAGAGCAUGAAGUCGGAAUCGCUAGUAAUCGCGGAUCAGCAUGUCGCGGUGAAUACGUUCCCGGGUCUUGUACACACCGCCCGUCACACCAUGGGAGCGGGUUCUGCCAGAAGUAGCUAGUCUAACCGCAAGGGGGACGGUUACCACGGCAGGGUUCGUGACUGGGGUGAAGUCGUAACAAGGUAAGUAUU